ACUAGUGAGGGGCAAACUUUCCGAAAGGUUAGGACGCAAAGUCGUAAGCCGUAAAAGAAGAUUUUUUUCUAGGUAGUUAGACUGCAAUC
rnacentral:ncRNA from 1 species